rnacentral:rRNA from 1 species
UUCGCAAUGCCCGAAAGGGUGACGAUGCGACGCCGCGUGGAGGAUGAAGGCCCUCGGGUUGUAAACCACUGUCAGGAGUUAGGAAAUACAAGGGCGUUAAUAGCGCCUUUGUUUGACUAAGGCUCCAGAGGAAGCCACGGCUAACUCUGUGCCAGCAGCAGCGGUAAUACAGAGGCGGCAAGCGUUGUUUGGAAUUAUUGGGCGUAAAGAGCACGUAGGCGGGUGAGUAAGUCGGGUGUGAAAUCCCUCGGCCCAACCGAGGAACUGCGCCCGAUACUGCACACCUUGAGGGCAGGAGGGGAGCGUGGAAUUCCUGGUGGAGCGGUGAAAUGCGUUGAUAUCAGGAGGAACACCGGCGGCGAAGGCGACGCUCUGGCCUGCUUCUGACGCUGAGGUGCGAAAGCCAGGGGAGCAAACGGGAUUAGAUACCCCGGUAGUCCUGGCCGUAAACGAUGGGCACUAAGUAGAGGGGUUUU